rnacentral:rRNA from 1 species
AAAUUGAAGAGUUUGAUCAUGGCUCAGAUUGAACGCUGGCGGCAGGCCUAACACAUGCAAGUCGAACGGUAACAGGAAGCAGCUUGCUGCUUCGCUGACGAGUGGCGGACGGGUGAGUAAUGUCUGGGAAACUGCCUGAUGGAGGGGGAUAACUACUGGAAACGGUAGCUAAUACCGCAUAACGUCGCAAGACCAAAGAGGGGGACCCUCGGGCCUCUUGCCAUCGGAUGUGCCCAGAUGGGAUUAGCUUGUUGGUGGGGUAACGGCUCACCAAGGCGACGAUCCCUAGCUGGUCUGAGAGGAUGACCAGCCACACUGGAACUGAGACACGGUCCAGACUCCUACGGGAGGCA